GAACUCGAGUAGGGCCCAAGCCAGCCAGGAAGGAGGAGGCAGCCAGAGUGGCCACCACUGUUCUCUGCAGCAGAAGACCCCUUGCUGCCAGCCUGCUGUGUGGUAAAGGCCCUGUGAAAAGCUUGUGCUUCAGAAGAAGUAGAUUGAGAAAGAGACAACAAUCCAACACAGAAUGGUUGCCAAAUCUCCAGGCCUGACCUAGUGUCUCCAGGAAUCUACAUCAGUCUCCAGGUGGCUAUGGAAAGCAAUCCUGAGGAUUUACAUGGCUUGAUGUUGUGAGGGGAAAAUUUGGGGGGUGGGGAAAUCUCCAGGAAUAGCUUCAACGUGAGAGUGGCAGUGGAUGAUUAGACACUAUUUUUAGAAAAUAUGUAGCAGAACUAAUAGAGUAGCCUGACCCAUGUAAAUAUUUUCUAGCUUCUUGAAGUCUACACUUAGUAUGAGAACAAUGGACAAUAUCUUAUGAGAAACAUCCUUGGAAGGAGAAGAUGAAUCAAGGUUAAAUGGAAAUUGAUAUUGAAAGGACAGAUUGGUAGUGUGUUGGAAUAUUUAGCAAAUGUGGCCUUCCAAGAGCACAGAUCUCCCACAACCUCAUGGAAAUUAUGUGACCACUAGUAAGUAUAUAAGUGAGGAACACAUCAGUCAAAUGUCAGCAACUGAGAGAAUGAGCUCCUGGUGUGCAUGACUUCUGAACCUGCUAAAGUCCAGUUCUUGCUCUCUCUACCUGACAUUCUCCACCCAGCUUCAAAUCUAGGUUACAGAAGUUGGGCAGAGGUUGUGGGAAUGAUGGGCAGAGAAUGUCGGGAAUCAGACUUGGGCGGGUUCAGACAUCACUCUCAUUUGCCAACAUUUUACUGACAUGUAAAAAUUACAGAUUCACUGUACACUUACAGAUUACAUUCACUUACAGAUUCACUGGUGGUCAAAUGAAGCCACCUUUUCAAACAAGUCACCUCCUUCAAACUACUUCUCAUGUUCUUCCUGAGACUAUUUAUCUGGACAUAAACUAAACUAGACAUGGCAUUAAAGACAUAAUUCUCCUUUUUCAUCUUUGUUUCCUGUUUUGGGGAUUAGGACCUUAGUGUCCAAGCCAUAGCUGCUAGCUAGCACAGCUGAUGAAAACAUUAUGUUAAAAAUCAGUGUAAUCAUAGCUAAUAACCAUGCUAUUCUAAAAACAAAGCAUUUUGUUUUAACAUUUAAGGUCCUGUAGAAAAAUAAAUCCCAAAAGAAAUAAGGCAACUUUGCUUUCCAUAACAAGCCACUGUACAAAAGCCGGCAAAUUAACCAGACAUUGCACUAGGAAGUAUUGCUUACAUGACCAGCCUUCCAAAUUAUACUCUUGUUGCUACUGCUACUGGCUGAUUUGGGGGCAUAAUAUGAUGAUUUAAAUAAGAAGGACUUUCAGAUUCUUCCAGCUGAAUAUUAUAAUAAGAACACAUCAAAUUAAUUUGCAAAAUCAACAAAUCCAUUAAAAAAAACCCUGCUGCUCUAAUUUUGAAUGUAAAUGAGUUUGGAAGAUGAAAGACUCUAAAGGGUGUAGUCAUCAGUAUCUCCACUCCUCUAUGCUCAUUUGCACACUCCAGUAGCCUUGUUCAUGGUAAUUUGCAUAUCCUCCUACAUAACAUGCUUAGGUGCAAUUAACAGCUCUGUUUCCAGUGUGCAUAAAAUCAGACUUUAAGCAUCCCAUAGGAACAUAGGAAGUUGCCCUUAUAUCAAGUCAGACCAUUGGUCCAGCAAAAUCAGUAUUGUCUACACAGACUGGCAGCAGCUUCUCCAAGAUUGCAACAGGGGUCUCUCUCAGCCCUAUCUUGGAGAUGCCGGGGAGGGAACUUGGAACCUUUUGCAUGCAAGCAUGCAAAUACUCUUCCCAGAGCAGCCCCACCCGCUAAGCAGAAUAUCUUAACUGUGCUCCCAUUCAAAUGCAUAGCAAAGGGGACAAUGCAUGCCUGCUACCACAAGACUAGCUCUCCUCCCGUAAGGAUCCCACCCUCAGUACAAGGAUCCUUGUUCCAUAUUUGGUAGCUGCCCCACUCCCUGGCUCUGCUAUAUUAAUCAACUCUGCUGCACCACUGGUCUCCCUGAAUUAAAGGUUGCAUCAUUGAAUUAUCAUGCAUAGACACUACCAUAGCUAAAGUGGAUCCAUAGGGUGAAGCUGCAGCAUGGUUCACAGGGCUGGCCUGUGGUGAGGUAGCUACCUCAGUUGGUGGAAUGGCAGGGGUGAUGGGUAUCCUGUGCCUGCCUCCAUUGGCUACCUCACCAGGCUGUCCUGUCUCUACCUGAACUGGUAGAGAGGCAACACUGUCGCCGCUGCUCCUUAUGUGGCUCUGCUUGCUUGUCCCUCUCUCCCUAUCUUUUGAAAAGGCAGGGGGUGAGGAUGCGUCAAAAGGGAGAGAGAACAGCCCUGUUCAGAUGUUAUUUCAAAACAGCUGUAUGUGAGUAUAGCCAUCCCAGAGCACACUGGAAGUCCCACCCUGGUGCAUCAUUCACUCCCUUGCUUGUGCUCUUCACAGUUAGAGUGGUGUUCAUCUGAAGAGGCAAACACCCUAACUAAGAUGGCGAGCAUUUCCAUGAUUGGCAGGCUCAGGCAUACACAUGAAUUGGGGCACAUGCUUGUAUGUAUCUACCCAUACUUACCUUAAUUGAAGAAGACUCCCCUUUAAAAGUAAAUAAAUACAGGUUAUACCUGCAUUCACUCAAAAGGAAAAGGACUCUGAAUUUAAGAUGGCCUCCUGAUUUCUAAUAUUUAAAAACUUGUGGGGUGGGGUGAAACCUGGUCUUGGAUUCAGGUGUAUACAGUAUGUAGGCAUUGCUUAAGAAAGUGUGUCCGCCCUUUUUUGCAGUGCAUGUGAGGUGUUUACAUAGGGGAGCUUUCAUUCUCAUUAAAGGUUUUGUUCCUGGGUGAUGGUGCAUUAGUAUAAGGCUAACUAACUCAUGUGCCUUGCUAUUUUAAAAAAGUUACUCGAGCUUCCGAGUAAACCUAAAUAGGACUGUAUUGCACUUCAGGUAUCAUUCUGUUUCUACAGUGGGGGAAUGGGGGACAUCCCAUUUUAAUGAGUGUAAUAUCCAUCUUAAUCCUAGGAUGGUUAUUUGGAAGUAAGUAUGCUCAGGAUUUUAGCCUUACUGCAUGAAAAAAAAGAGCAAAGCAGUGAUAUUAUGGUUGGACAGAUUUAAUUAUAUCCAUAAUGUGCUUUUAUAUUUGGAAUCUCAUCAAGUCUGUGGAAUUGACUGACCAUUCAACACAGCUGUUCUGCUAAAAAGAGGGAAAUGAGAGUUUACUGCAAACCUUUCACUAAAAGCUGUCAAGAAAGGUUUGCUGCAAACCUUUCACUAAAAGCUGUCAGUUUACAAAUAUGUGGUUUUUAAUGGGAGGAUAAAUAUGAGCUUUUAUUCUGCUUCUGCACCAUUAUUGUAAGCAGACAGGCCCAGUUAUUUCCAUUUGAGUCCCACUGAAAUGGGGAGGUUUUGCAUGACCUAGGCUGAAAUCCAGUGCCAGUCCAUUGAAUUUUGCUGCCUGAAGCAGAUCACCCAACGAUGCCCCCUUUUCCAAUGUCAUUUUCUAUUAGGAAGGGAACAGGAAAAGUAAUGUGGUGUCAUGUUGCCUUCUUUCUUCUUCUGGCCAGCCAUGGGGGUUCUGGGUGGGCUGCCAUGGUGCCCCAGGGAACUGAUCCACAAACUGCCCUCUGAAGUGGCCCACUUCAUCCUGCUUCAUUGUAGUGCCAUCCCUGUUGACAUCCUACGCACACCUCCUUGGGAGUAAGCCCCUUGAACUCACUGGGAUUGACUUCUGACUAAACACACUUAGCAUUGUGUUGCACCUGUGCUACUGUGGUCAUCUUUAAGAACCUUUAUCUUUAAGGUUAAGCAUUUUUGUGAGGAUAAGUUGCCAUAAGUGGGGAAAGGAGUGUUGUAAGUGGCAUGUGGAUUCUACCCUCAUGAGGAUGCACAUGACACUUGCUCUCAAAAUACCUACCCUACCCCAACAUAAUAAGCAUAUGAUAGCCAUAGUUGCACCUUAGAUUCAAUGCUCAUAAGAUCUGUGUACAGCGAACGAAUGCACAUACAGAACAGUAUGCCUAUACAGUUAAUCAAACAUUAUGCUCAACACAUGUUCAGUUGUAUACUUGCUAUUCAUACCCCACAUUUGAAAGGUCCUGUACCCAGGAUCACUUUUAAAAUGAACACAUAUACAGUCAUUCACACAAAACAUGUACAUGUGUACAGACACUUGCACACAUGUGCAACGUGAUGGCUGAAUGGAGUUAACUCUGCACGCAUGUUCUUCUAUGCCGUAUGGCAGAAGUGUGUGCAUGUUACCUUGCCAGCAAUGACCCUCAUUAUUGCUUUGCUAAUUACAGAGCACUGAGAGGGAGCAAUUCCACUAGCAUACAACUUUAAGUGUCCUCAGAGCACAUGAGUCACCUAUAAAUUUCCAUUUCUCAAGACAUGUAUUGACCAGUCUAUUUUAUAGUAUAUUGUUCUGGAAAGCUACCCUGAGGCCAUCCAAAGUGAUUUUAAAGCUUGCAAUUGGUCUGCACUUAUUGAUUUUUCCCUCCCUCUUUUCUGUCUCUCAGGAUCCUGGCAGAGGAGUGAAGUGGAAGUAUUAUGCAUGCUUGCUAGGGACCAGCUGUUCAUAAUGUACAGCGUGGCUGCAGUAGCUGAACUCUUAAAGCAAUGGUGCCAAGGAGGGGGGAAUUGGGGUUUAUUUUUAGAUCUCAUUUAUCAAAGUAGUAGAGUUCAUUGCUUUGCUCAUUUCAUUCCUUUAGCCACAAGAUUCACCCAGCCCCAUCAUUAUGUGGGGUGAGAAGGGGCAGGUUUUUGACAAACUGUGGGAGGGUUAUCAACUCUUUGAGCAUUUUACACUCAUCAGGCACAUCAGCCAAGUAGAAGCCUCAGUUGAUAGAGGGGCAGGAUUCAAAGAUGUGGUGUGGUAACUAGUAAAGGGCCAGCAGGUUACUGUUUGCCCUGAAAGUACUUGAGGCCAAGGGCGCUGCUAUGGUUGAUCAAGGUGGGAUGGGAUGUCUCUGUGCCCCUGAGGGGAAAAGGGCCCACCAACUGAGCUACAGCUUGCUCUUUGCUUCCCUUUCUUGCCUCUCUGAAGAUGAAGGCAGGGAGGUGGGAGCGGCAGGGGCCCAUCUUCACUUGGUGGGCCCAGGAUGCACGCCAACCUUGCUACGCCCCUGCUCGGGGCUUAAGAAGUGUUCCAAUCGAGAACUCGACAAGCCCCCGUUUGGCUGCCACUCCUCAUCCCCAAGGCAAAAUACUCACCUUAGGGUAAGGGGAAAGGAGAAGAGGAAGAUACAGUGAUGGCAACAAUCAUAGACAAUAAAUCCAUUCUCAUGACCAAAAUCUAGAUAGGAGGAGUAUCCAGCCAGGAUCCCAGACCUGGGCAUGUGAGAUGUACAUGUGUUGGCAAAAAUCGAGGUAGGAGGAUGGGAAAGUGAUUGAAACUAUUCACACGACCAGGAGAAAUUGGGCUAAGGGAGCCUAGCUCGAUUUCUCCUGGCCAUCUGCUGCCACGGGAGCCACUCGGCUCCCAGCAGCAAACCAUCUAAAGUACCCCUCCCCUUAAAGGAGCUUAGCAGAGCUAGCGCUCCGCAAACCCCGUUUGGUUGCACCUGUGCUGCCACGGCAACACAUGAGGAGACCCUCACUGGGAGGCUGCAAAUAGCCUCCCGGACUCAGGGGUCUCUCCAAGAUGUCUCAUGCGCUCGCACGGGGUAUCCUGGGACUCCUGCGGCCCCUGAUCCCUGCAGCCCCUGCCAGCUCCAUGAUGGAGCCGGCAGCCACGUGGGUGGCCGAUCUGGCUGCCCAGCUAUGAGUGGCUGCUCAUCUUCGGGGAGAGUGGGCUAAGCCCGCUCUCCCCGCAGAACCCCAUUAGGCGCUUCACACGUGUCGUGUGAAGCGCCUCAUUGUGUGCUAGCCACAAUCUGGAUGGGAUGGUGUGGGUUGUGCUUUUACCCUAUAUAAAAUGUUGGGUAAUUGAGGUUAGUUGGCUGUGCCAUCCCUACCCAAUUCGUGGCUACCAUGCCAUCACUUUCCUGUCCUCCUACCUUGAUUUUUGCCAACACAUGACUGGUUCUCAGAAGCGUACAUGGGUCUGGGGUCCUGGGUGGACACUCCUCCUACCCAGCGUUUGGUUGUGAGAAUGGGCCCAGUGCCUUCCCACACUGAAGAUCCUGGGACUUGACUUCCAGGACUCCAGCAGGAUAAUGUACUCCACACAACUGUGCAAACAUCUGCUGCCACCAUCUGCUUUGCCACUUCCUUUUCCUUUCAGGUGAAUUUUUCUUUUUUUCCCCUUGGGGAGAGGGUACGGUAAGUCUACUGUGGGCAGAACCAAGAUUAUUUUUGAGGUGAGCUUUGCCUGCCUUGGAUCUAUUUACAGUCAUUCAAGCAAGACUGUAAGAAUAAAGAGCACCCCUGCUUCACAUGCUAUAACCCAUCCCUAACAACCCAGUUUUCAACAUGUUUGCAUCACUACCAUCUCACCAUCUUCUUAUAGCCAGGUCCUCGGUGGUGGUGGGGUCAUAUCCCUUUUAUUAAGUGGUCCAUCCUCUAGGGGAAAUCUUAAAAGGCUAUUUUUUUAGUGAGCGUCUCGAGAAAAGACUACAGAAGUAUUAAGAAGUUUAUUAGACCAAGUCAUUGUUCCUAAAAACAGAACACAAUCUUCCAUUGCUGGCUGAAGCAGGGUGCUCUGAAAGCACAAAUGCACUUCCACAAAGCUUAAGAAUAAAUACUUUUUGUGUGCAUUGAUGAAUAUUUUCCAGGCCUUGCAAACACUGACCAUUUCAUGAAAGCUUUAACACUUUAAAAAAAAAAUGGCAUGGGACUGCUAUUCUUUAAAUCUAAUGCAUACAGGCUACAGCCCCACAAUCAAAGUUUUGGCUGAAGAUUUUGAAUCAGUAUGUGAAACUGCCUUCUUUGUUUCUCUCUAUUCUUAGCUCAGAGCUUAGAGUUGCCAGCUUUUUUUACUGACUCUGUUCUUGUGCUUUUAACAACAGCCUGACACACAAAACUCCAGCAGACAGAGGAAAGUUAUCACUUUGACUCUGUGCCAGGAAAAGCUUCUUUCACUGUUCUGUGUUAUGCUGCAAGAGAGUUGACAACACUGCCCAGCCUUUGGGACCUCUGGCACCGGUGUAGCAAGGUUGGAGUGGGCCCUGGGACAAACAGUGAAGAUGGACCUCUGUCACGCCAUCUUCUUCAGAGAGGUGCCCAUGUUCAAGAAGAACACAAGCAAUACAUGGCAAUGUUUAACAAUAAACAAUAAGGAAAUUGUAGAAAUGUGAAGUGUGGGAACCACCUCAUAAAAAUUUAUAAAGCCUCCCUGACAGCUGACUUAUAAUCAGUGGGAAGUCCCCCAAUUAUGUCAUUACAUUUUGCAUAAGAGCCCUGACCUGAAUUUGGAAAUUGCUCAUGCUGGACCCAAGUCAUCUGCUCAUACAAGGGAACACUGGUACCUCUGCCUUUAAAACAGCUAUGAAAAAAACAAAUUUAUUUACUGUAUUUUGGGCUGUAUCCUGGAUUCUGCCAGCAAAUAUAUAUACUUCACAAGCAGAGAUGAGAAGUUUUCUGCUGUCCUCUUUGAGCAUCAAUACUACAAGGAAAACAAUAUAUCACUUAAUCAUCUACUUCCAGCCUUUGGGAAGAAAAAUAUUAAUGGGGUCUAAGAAGAUUAACUGGGCACAUGUACCUGCAAAUAGACUCCCAAAGGCUACAAAUAAAUAAUAAUAAUAACUGGACAUGCACUAAAAUAUUUGUUCAAACAUUCCUUGUUGGCUAGUUCCUUUCCCCCACUGCACUUUGGCACUCUAGCAGAGUUUGCCUGAGGAGAUACUAGUGCUUCACAGAUCCAUUUGACCAGUGGAGCUCAGGGUGCUCCUAUAUAUUUUCAUUUCUAAUAUGAAGAUAAAGUAUUCCCCACCAUACAUCUCCAUUACCCUAUGACUCUUUCUUGGUUCGGAGUCUUGCGAAAAUAUUAUGUGUAAAGCUCACAGAAUGUCCCUGGCUCUUAUUAAAGGUGAAAGUGUUUUUA